AGUGAACGCUGGCGGCGUGCCUAAUACAUGCAAGUCGAACGGAGUGGCUCACGGGCGAGUAAUGUAUAUCUAAUCUGCCCUACACUAGCGGACAACAGUUGGGAACGACUGCUAAUACUCUAUAGUGUAGGAUGAGGCUAUAUUGUAUCAGCUAGUUGGUGAGGUAAUGGCUCACCCAGGCUAUGACGCAUCACUGGUCUGAGAGGAUGAUCAGUCGACCUGUAACGGAGACACGGGUGGGAAUCUUUGGGGAGGGAGCAGUAGGGUAUAUUGCUCAAUGGGGGAAACCCUGAAGCAGCAUCGGCUCGUGGAGGAUUAUACGUUGCGGAGCGUAAACUCCUUUUGUUAGGGAAGCGGUACCUACCGAAUAAGCACCGGCUAACUCCGUGCCAGCAGCCGCGGUAAUAC
rnacentral:rRNA from 1 species